UACAGAGGGGGCAAGCGUUAUUCGGAAUUACUGGGCGUAAAGGGCGCGUAGGCGGCCGCCUAAGUCAGACGUGAAAUCCCUCGGCUCAACCGGGGAACUGCGUCUGAUACUGGGUGGCUUGGAGUUCGGGGAGAGGGAUGCGGAAUUCCAGGUGUAGCGGUGAAAUGCGUAGAUAUUGGGAGGAACACCAGUGGCGAAGGCGGCUGCACUGGACCGGAACUGACGCUGAGGCGCGAAAGCGUGGGGAGCAAACAG
rnacentral:rRNA from 1 species